rnacentral:rRNA from 1 species
AGUCGAACGGGGGCUUUCGCAGUGGCAACACUUCGGAGGUUCUAGUGGCGAACGGGUGAGUAACACGCUGAGGAACUUGCCCCGGACUCUGGAAUAACAGGUGGAAACACCUGCUAAUACCGGAUGCCAUCGGUGGAUCGCAUGGUCUACCGAUGAAAGAAUUUCGGUCCGGGAUGGCCUCGCGGCCUAUCAGCUAGUUGGUGGGGUAACGGCCUACCAAGGCGUCGACGGGUAGCUGGUCUGAGAGGAUGAUCAGCCACACUGGGACUGAGACACGGCCCAGACUCCUACGGGAGGCAGCAGUAGGGAAUCUUGCGCAAUGGGCGAAAGCCUGACGCAGCAACGCCGCGUGCGGGAAGAAGGCCUUCGGGUUGUAAACCGCUUUUGGCAGGAACGAAAAUGACGGUACCUGCAGAAGAAGGUGCGGCCAACUACGUGCCAGCAGCCGCGGUGACACGUAGGCACCAAGCGUUGUCCGGAUUUAUUGGGCGUAAAGAGCUCGUAGGCGGUUCAGUAAGUCGGGUGUGAAAACUCUGGGCUUAACCCAGAGAGGCCACCCGAUACUGUUGAACUUGAGUUCGGUAGGGGAGUUGGGGAAUUCCUGGUGUAGCGGUGAAAUGCGCAGAUAUCAGGAGGAACACCGGUGGCGAAGGCGCCACUCUGGGCCGAAACUGACGCUGAGGAGCGAAAGCGUGGGUAGCAAACAGGAUUAGAUACCCUGGUAGUCCACGCCGUAAACGUUGGGCACUAGGUGUGGGCUCCAACCAACGGAGUCCGUGCCGUCGCUAACGCAUUAAGUGCCCC